rnacentral:tRNA from 1 species
GCCGACAUAGCUCAGCGGUAGAGCAACUGUUUUGUAAACAGUAGGUCGGGGGUUCAAAUCCCUCUGUCGGCU